rnacentral:rRNA from 1 species
UACGUAUGGUGCAAGCGUUAUCCGGAAUGACUGGGUGUAAAGGGAGCGUAGACGGUUGUACAAGUCUGAUGUGAAAGCCCACGGCUCAACUGUGGGAGUGCAUUGGAAACUGUAGAACUAGAGUAUCGGAGAGGCAAGUGGAAUUCCUAGUGUAGCGGUGAAAUGCGUAGAUAUUAGGAGGAACACCAGUGGCGAAGGCGGCUUGCUGGACGAAAGCUGACGUUGAGGCUCGAAAGCGUGGGGAGCAAACAGG